GGGGUUGUAGCUCAGUGGUAGAGUGCUUGCCUUGUACGCGUGAGGCCCUGGGUUACUCAGCACCACAUAAAAAUAAAUAAAUAAAAAUAAAGAUAUUGUGCCCAUCUACAACUAAAAAAAUUAUUUAAAAAAAAAAAGCCGAUAGAGGGGCUGGGGUUGAGAUUCAGUGGUAGAGCACUUGCCUAGCAUGUGUGAGGCCCUGGGUUCAAUUCUCAACACCACA
rnacentral:tRNA from 1 species